rnacentral:lncRNA from 12 species
GACAUGCUUAGAAGACAAAACAAGGAGAUUCCGUUUAGAUUAAUAACCACAGCCUUGAGUGAUGGGCUUCUGUCCACCCUGAAGAUGACAGAGAGACAUGCUUAGAAGACAAAACAAGGAGAUUCCGUUUAGAUUAAUA